UCACCCAGAAGUGGGCAAAGAGACACUUUGUUGGUGAUAUUGUUCUUAUAUCAGUCAGGGGCAGAGCAGAUGACAGGCCUUGGUUCAUCCUAACUUGAUGCCUGGCUUGGUGGCCAAAGCUGUUUUAUGCCUAGGACUCAUAA